rnacentral:rRNA from 1 species
ACGGAAGGCAGCAGUGAGGAAUAUUGGUCAAUGUGCGGAAGCCUGAACCAGCCAAGUCGCGUGAAGGAAGACGGUUCUAUGGAUUGUAAACUUCUUUUGCAUGAGGGUAAAGUGACCUACGUGUAGGUUAUUGCAAGUAUCAUGUGAAUAAGCAUCGGCUAACUCCGUGCCAGCAGCCGCGGUAAUACGGAGGAUGCGAGCGUUAUCCGGAUUUAUUGGGUUUAAAGGGUGCGUAGGCGGGCUGUUAAGUCAGCGGUGAAAGUUUGCGGCUCAACCGUAAAAUUGCCGUUGAAACUGGCGGUCUUGAGUGUAAACGAGGUAGGCGGAAUGUGAUGUGUAGCGGUGAAAUGCUUAGAUAUGUCACAGAACUCCGAGUGCGAAGGCAGCUUACCAGGAUACAACUGACGCUGAGGAACGAAAGCGUGGGUAUCAAACAGGAUUAGAUACCCUGGUA